rnacentral:rRNA from 1 species
CCUACGGGUGACAGCAGUGGGGGAUAUUGCACAAUGGGGGGAACCCUGAUGCAGCGACGCCGCGUGGGUGAAGGAGUGCUUCGGCAUGUAAAGCCCUAUCGGCAGGGAAGAAGCAAGACGGUACCUGACUAAGAAGCCCCGGCUAACUACGUGCCAGCAGCCGCGGUAAUACGUAGGGGGCGAGCGUUAUCCGGAUUCACUGGGUGUAAAGGGAGCGUAGACGGCCAUGCAAGCCAGGGGUGAAAGCCCGGGGCCCAAACCCGGGACUGCCCUUGGAACUGGAUGGCUAGAGUGCGGGAGAGGCAGGCGGAAUACCUGGUGUAGCGGUGAAAUGCGUAGAUAUCAGGAGGAACACCGGCGGCGAAGGCGGCCUGCUGGACCGCGACUGACGUUGAGGCUCGAGAGCGUGGGGAGCGAACAGGAUUAGAUACCCCUGUAGUC